UUAACCAUUCAUAAAACCAUGUUUGUGAUCUGAAUCACCCCCAAAAUAUAAUCACUUGUUUCUUCUUCCAUUUCUAAAAUUUCCUGAAAAUUUAAUCAAAAUC